GACGCACGCUGCCCCUAGAGUCAGUUACCAGCAGAGUGAGCAGACCUCAUCCAGUGCCUAAGGAAGGAGCUGUUCCUCGGAGAAAACUUCAUUAAGUCUGAUGGCUGAAAAGAAAACCACCCCCUUAUGACAGCGCUUCACCCAGCCAACACCA